GCUUAACACAUGCAAGUCGAGGGGCAGCACAGGUAGCAAUACCGGGUGGCGACCGGCGCACGGGUGAGUAACGCGUAUGCAACUUGCCUAUCAGAGGGGGAUAACCCGGCGAAAGUCGGACUAAUACCGCAUGAAGCAGGGGCCCCGCAUGGGGAUAUUUGCUAAAGAUUCAUCGCUGAUAGAUAGGCAUGCGUUCCAUUAGGCAGUUGGCGGGGUAACGGCCCACCAAACCGACGAUGGAUAGGGGUUCUGAGAGGAAGGUCCCCCACAUUGGUACUGAGACACGGACCAAACUCCUACGGGAGGCAGCAGUGAGGAAUAUUGGUCAAUGGGCGCGAGCCUGAACCAGCCAAGUCGCGUGAGGGAUGAAGGUUCUAUGGAUCGUAAACCUCUUUUAUAAGGGAAUAAAGUGCGGGACGUGUCCCGUUUUGUAUGUACCUUAUGAAUAAGGAUCGGCUAACUCCGUGCCAGCAGCCGCGGUAAUACGGAGGAUCCGAGCGUUAUCCGGAUUUAUUGGGUUUAAAGGGUGCGUAGGCGGCCUUUUAAGUCAGCGGUGAAAGUCUGUGGCUCAACCAUAGAAUUGCCGUUGAAACUGGGGGGCUUGAGUAUGUUUGAGGCAGGCGGAAUGCGUGGUGUAGCGGUGAAAUGCAUAGAUAUCACGCAGAACCCCGAUUGCGAAGGCAGCCUGCCAAGCCAUUACUGACGCUGAUGCACGAAAGCGUGGGGAUCAAACAGGAUUAGAUACCCUGGUAGUCCACGCAGUAAACGAUGAUCACUAGCUGUUUGCGAUACACUGUAAGCGGCACAGCGAAAGCGUUAAGUGAUCCACCUGGGGAGUACGCCGGCAACGGUGAAACUCAAAGGAAUUGACGGGGGCCCGCACAAGCGGAGGAACAUGUGGUUUAAUUCGAUGAUACGCGAGGAACCUUACCCGGGUUUGAACGCAUUCGGACCGAGGUGGAAACACCUUUUCUAGCAAUAGCCGUUUGCGAGGUGCUGCAUGGUUGUCGUCAGCUCGUGCCGUGAGGUGUCGGCUUAAGUGCCAUAACGAGCGCAACCCUUGCCACUAGUUACUAACAGGUAAAGCUGAGGACUCUGGUGGGACUGCCAGCGUAAGCUGCGAGGAAGGCGGGGAUGACGUCAAAUCAGCACGGCCCUUACAUCCGGGGCGACACACGUGUUACAAUGGCGUGGACAAAGGGAAGCCACCUGGCGACAGGGAGCGAAUCCCCAAACCACGUCUCAGUUCGGAUCGGAGUCUGCAACCCGACUCCGUGAAGCUGGAUUCGCUAGUAAUCGCGCAUCAGCCAUGGCGCGGUGAAUACGUUCCCGGGCCUUGUACACACCGCCCGUCAAGCCAUGGGAGCCGGGGGUACCUGAAGUCCGUAACCGCGAGGAUCGGCCUAGGGUAAAACUGGUGACUGGGGCUAAGUC
rnacentral:rRNA from 1 species